GUUAAGCUACUAAGGGCGUACGGUGGAUGCCUUGGCGCUGGAAGGCGAUGAAGGACGUGGCAAGCUGCGAAAAGCCUCGGGGAGCCGCAAGCAGGCAUAGAUCCGAGGAUCUCCGAAUGGGGAAACCCACCCGGCAGAAGGCCGGGUACUCCUACCUGAAUCCAUAGGGUAGUGAGGGCUAACCCGGGGAAGUGAAACAUCUCAGUACCCGGAGGAAGAGAAAGCAAACGCGAUUCCGUAAGUAGCGGCGAGCGAAAGCGGAACAGCCCAAACCCGAGGGCUUGCCCUCGGGGGUUGUAGGGCGGGAGCCAUGGGACUGGAAAGGCGAGCGGAACAGGACUGGAACGUCCGGCCAUAGACGGUGAGAGCCCAGUACGCGAAGUCCGACCAGCCCUAUCCCGUACCUGAGUAGCGCGGGGCACGAGGAACCCCGCGUGAAUCUGGGGGGACCACCCUCCAAGGCUAAAUACUCUCCAGCGACCGAUAGUGCACAAGUACCGUGAGGGAAAGGUGAAAAGAACCCUUGCUAAGGGAGUGAAAUAGUACCUGAAACCGUACGUCUACAAGCAGUCGGAGCACCGUGCACAGGCUUGCCUGUGACCGUGCGACGGCGUGCCUUUUGCAUAAUGAGCCGGCGAGUUACUGUACGUAGCGAGGUUAAGCGCCUCAGGCGCGUAGCCGUAGCGAAAGCGAGUCCGAAAUGGGCGCUAAGUUGCGUGCAGUAGACCCGAAGCGGGAUGAUCUAGCCAUGGCCAGGGUGAAAGUCGGGUAACACCGACUGGAGGCCCGAACCGGUGUACCUUAAAAAGUGCUCGGAUGAGCUGUGGCUAGGGGUGAAAGGCCAAUCAAAUUCCGUGAUAGCUGGUUCUCCCCGAAAUGUUUUUAGGAACAGCCUCGACCGCUCAGUUGCCGAG
rnacentral:rRNA from 1 species